GAUCGCCAUGGCAUCUGAUCAGUUUAAAAGAGUCGAUCCGCAGAUUGUAUUCUUGACUUAUAGAUUGGAGAUCAGUCUCUCUAAGGACUGACGGCAGUUCAUCAACUGGCAGGUUCUCCUUUCUCAAAGGCAUUCCUCGCUUUGGUCUGGUAGCCGGACCAGUAACCGGAAUGAUGGUUGUGCUGGAUCGAUUGCUUGGUCUAAUCGCGUCACCUUCUUCCGAGGUCCA
rnacentral:misc_RNA from 1 species